UGCAGUCGAGGGGUAUAAGUAGCAAUACUUAGAGACCGGCGCACGGGUGAGUAACGCGUAUGCAACCUGCCCUUUACUGGAGGAUAGCCCGUAGAAAUGCGGAUUAAUACCCCAUAGUAAUAUUGGAUCGCAUGAUUUGAUAUUUAAAGUUUCGGCGGUAAAGGAUGGGCAUGCGUGACAUUAGCUAGUUGGUAAGGUAACGGCUUACCAAGGCUUCGAUGUCUAGGGGUUCUGAGAGGAAGAUCCCCCACACUGGUACUGAGACACGGACCAGACUCCUACGGGAGGCAGCAGUGAGGAAUAUUGGUCAAUGGGCGAGAGCCUGAACCAGCCAUCCCGCGUGCAGGAAGAAUGCCCUAUGGGUUGUAAACUGCUUUUUCGCAUGAAGAACACCCCUGACGUGUCAGGGGCUGACGGUAAUGCGUGAAUAAGCACCGGCUAACUCCGUGCCAGCAGCCGCGGUAAUACGGAGGGUGCAAGCGUUAUCCGGAUUUAUUGGGUUUAAAGGGUGCGUAGGCGGCUAUUUAAGUCAGUGGUGAAAUCCUGCAGCUUAACUGUAGAACAGCCAUUGAAACUGAAUAGCUUGAGUGAUCUUGAGGUAGGCGGAAUGUGUAGUGUAGCGGUGAAAUGCUUAGAUAUUACACAGAACACCGAUUGCGAAGGCAGCUUACUAAGGAUUUACUGACGCUGAUGCACGAAAGCGUGGGGAUCAAACAGGAUUAGAUACCCUGGUAGAAUCACUAGUGAAUUC
rnacentral:rRNA from 1 species